GUAUUUUGUCUUCAGCGACUCAAUCAACAGCAAAAGAAAAUUAAGACAGAAAAAAAGUCUAAACAGAGCUAGCUGUCCAUAAAGAAGCAGAGUGCUCAGGUAUGUGUUUGACAAUGUCCUUUUCCACAUCUCCUCAGCAGGAUGUGAUUUACUGUGUUCACAGCAGAUCUCAUAUGAACUGUGCACCAGAAGUUUUCACCUCUUAAAAUGCAAACUCUUUCCAUUUUAUGCAGCCAGCUUAGAAACUUCUUUUACAGCUCCUAUUGUCCAUCUUUUUAUAUGCAG
rnacentral:lncRNA from 1 species